rnacentral:rRNA from 1 species
UACAGAGGGUGCAAGCGUUGUUCGGAAUUAUUGGGCGUAAAGCGCGUGUAGGCGGCUUGGCAAGUCAGAUGUGAAAGCCCUCGGCUUAACCGAGGAAGUGCGUCUGAAACUGCUGAGCUUGAGUGUCGGAGAGGAUGGCGGAAUUCCGCAAGUAGAGGUGAAAUUCGUAGAUAUGCGGAGGAACACCGGUGGCGAAGGCGGCUUCCUGGACCGAUACUGACGCUGAGGCGCGAAAGCUAGGGGAGCAAACGGG